rnacentral:misc_RNA from 1 species
AUGAAUAAACUUGAUAGGCUGUAGCUGGCUCUCUAGGGAGUACGUGCUCGUCUGUCAUCUUUACAUUUCCACCUGUGCACCUUUUGUAGAUCCUGGAGAAAAUAAUUUCUGAUGAAAAUUCAGGCGUGAAGAGUUGCAGGCUCUCUCUCUUAAGAGUCAGCUCUCUUUGAAAGUAUCCAGGUCUAUGUUUUCAUAUACACCAAAGAAUGUAAUAGAAUGUGAUCAAUGGGUCUUUGUACCUAUAAUAAAGUUUAUA